rnacentral:lncRNA from 1 species
GCCUUUUUGCAUAAAAAAUCCACUUAUUUUGGGUUUUUGCAAAAUCGGGCCACCUUUUUCGUUUUUGCAGAUUCGGUCCACUUUUUCAGCAAACUGACCAAAAUACCCUUAUAUAUUUUUCUCUCUCCUCUUUUUUUUCUCUCUCCUUUCUUCGAUCUCGUCGCCGCGGACCCUUUUUUCUCUCUUCUCUUUUUUCGUUUUUUUUCUCGUUCCUUUUUUCUUUCUUUUCCCAGAGACGUCGUCGUCCCCGGCCGUGCUCGNUUUUUUAUUUUAUUAAUUUUAUUUAAAAAUAUUUAAAUUUUUUAAAAAUAAAAAUAAAAAUAUUAAUUUUUUUAAAAAAUAAUAUAUCAGUAAAAAAAAAUUAAAAUUUUAAAAUAUAUUUAUAAAAAUAUUAAAAUUUUAAAUUAUUUUAAAAUUUUAAAUUUUUUGGA